GAAAGCAUUCCAUUCCGUCCUAAAGAGUCGGUGCUAGCUUCUUCCCUUGAGUUGUCUGCUUUGCUUUUUUUUUGGGGGGGGGGCUUCUUGUAUUCGUGUGUGAGGCUAGCCUCUGCCCGGAAGUCUUCGAAGUCAGGUUCAUGUUCACUCCUUUUGAUUGGAUUCUUCUAUCAUUGGAUUUUCAGUCUUGGAAGUGGUGAAGCGGUUGUCCGAUUGAUUGAGUAGUCCAUGGCCAGUGAAGGUGCUUUCGGGUCUAUACCCAUAGCCCUCUCGUCUAGGGGCUAAAACUGAUGACUCAAAGCCUAUCGUAUCCGUCUUGGAGUCAGCGCCUAAUUCAUUUGUCGUCCUAUAGCUUGGGACUGGGGUUCCGCUUGUAGUACCCUUUUCUAAUCGGCUAAUCCUUCUUGCUGGAGUUGUUGUACCAGCAAGCAAGUGCUUAUUUCUUCCUUUUGGUAUUGAAGCGGCUCAUUCUUUCUGGUUCACGACCGAUCUAAAAGUGCUUUCCUUCUAGCUUGACUUGUUCUAUUAGAUAUGUGGCUUUGUUGUAAGCGGACCUAGCAAUCAUCCUCUCCCCCCUUCCCUCAGGGGAAGUGUAGGCAUCAGAGAGGCCCCGUGCAGUGCUUGCCUUUCUACCUCUCUCCGUAUUGCAUUCAUCCCCAUCU
rnacentral:lncRNA from 1 species